CAGCAACAGAACAGCUCAGCUGAGCCAGCUUGCAGCUGUAUGAAUGGGGUUUUAGAGUCACAGAGGGGGUGGGUUUAGUGGUAAUUCCUCAGGAUUGGGUUACAGCCUCUGCAACUUCAGUCACCCCAGGGGUUCUCAAAUCCACAAAUGCCAUUUCGAUGCAGGCUUACCAGAGUAGGCAAACACACAUUACAAAACCUUGUAAGGUGGCUCAUUCUGCUGGCAGAUAUUCAAGUAGGUCUCCAGAGCAGACACCUCAAGCCCAGGCAGCUGCCACCUCUAAGGCUUGGACCUCAUUUUUUUCCCUGAAGGUUGCCAUUCUCUUAGGCACAUACACAACAUCACUCAGAAGAUCAUGAAAAAUGUACUCGAGAAAAGUUUGCCAUUGAAAGAGGAAAGCUGUUAGAACCACCUGAUAUGUCAAGCACAACAGAAAUGAACUACAUCUAUGAAGGAGAACUCAUAGGAGACACACAUUCAGUUUCAACACAGACUGGAGAGUCAUUAGACUUCAGCAGAGAUCCUGUUUUGGAAAUGAAGAUGUCUGUGUGGGUGUAAGAUUAAAUGUUCUCCCAUCUUUCAAAUGACUCAGUGUCUGAAAGACCCAAAUGCAAUAUUUUGGUUGAAAUGGUGCUUAAUCCAAGCCCAGCCAUAAUUUUAAGCAUUCAUAAAGAUCUGCAAAAGGACAAAGCCUGCUAUCUGUCAUUCUACUGACUUAGGUGAUUUUACAUCCCUUCUGUUCAGUGCUUGGUUCCCUUGGCCGUGUCGUCAAGAUUAAGCAAAACAGCACAGACAGCAGGAUUUUAUAAUAUCCUUGACAUGGCUGCUACUACCUUUAGUUAUUGUUGGAAAGCUAUUUGUCUGAAUCCUCAAUCUGUUUAGCAAAUGACAAAAACAUGAAGCUGGUAAAAGGAGAGCAGAAGGAAAUUUUCUGCAAAGAGCGUGAAUUGUGGUUACGGGGUGCUGCUGGUGUAUUCAGAAUUUGAAGUACUAUGUGGGAUUACACGUGGGCAUGGGUCUACAAGACUCUUUAUUCAGUUAUAAGGUGCCUUGUAUCAGAGCAAGAAUUGCAACAGGCACACAGUAUAAAGAAGCAGGUAAAA